rnacentral:rRNA from 1 species
GGGACACGUGGUAUCCUGUCUGAAUAUGGGGGGACCAUCCUCCAAGGCUAAAUACUCCUGACUGACCGAUAGUGAACCAGUACCGUGAGGGAAAGGCGAAAAGAACCCCGGCGAGGGGAGUGAAAAAGAACCUGAAACCGUGUACGUACAAGCAGUGGGAGCACAGGUUUACCUGUGUGACUGCGUACCUUUUGUAUAAUGGGUCAGCGACUUAUAUUCUGUA